CUUCAUCCGGAAAACCCCACAAAAUUAUGCAAAUCAAGAAGUUCAAAUCUUCAUGUUCACUUUAAGAACAUUCUUGAAACUGCCCAGGACAUCAAGGUUAUGCUUACAUGAAAAGCCACCAAGUAUCUGAAAGAUGUUUACAAUCAUGGAGUUGGGAGGUGUGCCCAGGCCAAGCAGUGGGGCUGGACACAUGGUCGGUGGCCCAAAAAGAUUGCUGAAUUUUAGAUGCACAUGCUUAAAUCAUGCAGAGAGUAAUGCUAAACUUGAGUUUCAAUGUAUUAUAGAUUCUCUGAUCAUUGAGCAUAUCCAGGUGAAUAAAGCACCUAAGAUGCUCUGCCAGACUUACAGAUCUCAUGGUUGGAUUAACCCAUACAUGAGCUCACCCUACCACAUCUUGAUUAUCUUUACUGAAAAGGAACAAAUUGUUCUUAAACCGGAAGAGGAGAUUUCACAAAGGAAAAUACACCCUAGAAGAAAUUGAAGAAACAAAACUUAUGGAAUGGGAAUAA
rnacentral:lncRNA from 1 species